rnacentral:rRNA from 1 species
UACAGAGGUCCCAAGCGUUGUUCGGAUUCACUGGGCGUAAAGCGAGUGUAGGUGGUUGUCCAAGUUGGAUGUGAAAGCCUUGAGCUCAACUCAAGAAAUGCAUUCAGGACUGGAUGGCUAGAGGACCGGAGAGGAUAGUGGAAUUCCCAGUGUAGUGGUGAAAUACGUAGAGAUUGGGAAGAACACCAGUGGCGAAGGCGGCUAUCUGGACGGUUUCUGACACUAAGACUCGAAAGCGUGGGGAGCAAACAGG